rnacentral:rRNA from 1 species
CCCAGACUCCUACGGGAGGCAGCAGUGGGGGAUAUUGCACAAUGGGGGGAACCCUGAUGCAGCGACGCCGCGUGGGUGAAGAAGUAUUUCGGUAUGUAAAGCCCUAUCGGCAGGGAAGAAAUUGGACGGUACCUGACUAAGAAGCCCCGGCUAACUACGUGCCAGCAGCCGCGGUAAUACGUAGGGGGCAAGCGCUAUCCGGAUUCACUGGGUGUAAAGGGAGCGUAGACGGCCAUGCAAGCCUGGAGUGAAAGCCCGGGGCCCAACCCCGGGACUGCUCUGGGAACUGUGCGGCUGGAGUGCGGGAGGGGCAGGCGGAAUUCCUGGUGUAGCGGUGAAAUGCGUAGAUAUCAGGAGGAACACCGGCGGCGAAGGCGGCCUGCUGGACCGCGACUGACGUUGAGGCUCGAAAGCGUGGGGAGCAAACAGGAUUAGAUACCCCGGUAAG